rnacentral:rRNA from 1 species
UACGUAGGGGGCAAGCGUUGUCCGGAUUUAUUGGGCGUAAAGAGCGUGUAGGCGGCUAUACAGGUCCGCUGUGAAAACUCGAGGCUCAACCUCGAGACGUCGGUGGAAACCGUAUGGCUAGAGUCCGGAAGAGGAGAGUGGAAUUCCCGGUGUAGUGGUGAAAUGCGUAGAUAUCGGGAGGAACACCAGUGGCGAAGGCGACUACCUGGCCUGUUCUUGACGCUGAGGCGCGAAAGCUAGGGGAGCAAACGGG